rnacentral:tRNA from 1 species
UCCCUGGUGGCUCAGAUGGUAAAGCGUCUGCCUGCAAUGCAGGAGACCCAGGUUCAGUUCCUGGGUUGGGAA